rnacentral:lncRNA from 1 species
CAUGGUAUGACAUGUUUUAUAUUUGUAGAUGAAAUUCAACACAAGAUAUGUUGAAGGUGCUGGACUGGGAAAUGGGAAGCAGAUGGAGAUGCUGUGGUCGUAUCUGAGGCACUUUGGGAAGGUCACUAGAUGACGCCGUCCCAUCGUAUUGACCUCCUGACUGAUGCCCUUCACCAUGAGAAAAGAUGUGCCAGAGGCAACUGGACGACAGUUGCAACAGAAGCAGAAUGGAAAAUGGCAGAAAUUGCAGUCUCUAACAGGUAAACCAUUGCAUCAAUUCUCUAAGAAUAGAAUUUCAGUAUUGAUUAGAAUUUGUCACAUCUGUCAAUUAUGUUUUAGGAACAACACUGGACACCAUUCGGGAUUGUGGCAGGAAUGUUAGUGUCACCCUUGAGAAGCAAAAACCUGCUCUGUGUUGGGAUAAGCAAUAUGUUGCAAUGCUCCAGCAACAUACAAUAGCAAUGUAUGUAAUUAUUUUUAAAAAUUUUUUGGCAUGCAUCUCUAAUCCAUUUUUUUUUUAUCUUCAGGGCCCAGCAGGAAAGUGGAGAUGGAAUAGCUGUUGCUCAGCUUAUGCAGAUCGAAAACUGAAGACGAUGGAGAGGAAGAACGGCAUCCUCCAUCGAUGGUCCCCCACCAGCAGUCUCUUCCAGACUGCACUCCACAGACUGCAGAGUAACAGAUUGAAGACCAAUUUGGAAGGAACAUUCAGUCUGGUGCUAGAACGGAGGUUACUCUGUGGCCUGAAGAGAAAAUAUGCAGGAAAUAUAUAUUCAACAAUAGGAACAAGUCAACUCAUAUCAGUUCUAUGAUAUUUCUGGGUGGGCAAACACAAUAAAUCAAAAAUGUGUUGCUGUUUUUGAACUUGUUUCUGAUGCUUAUGGUCUAUUGUUGGAUGGUAAUAAAGUGUAUAGCAGCUGUUGUCAUUUUUGAAUGUUUUUGUUUAGAUUGGAUUACCUUUAACAUAUUUUUUGUCUGUCUUAUCUGUUAUCAAUAGAUGGUCAAGGUAUUGCCAACCGCCUGUCCAAAAAGCUUGCCACGCUCUCACAAGUCCUGGUGUAUGAGGAUGCAGUGCAGGUGGACAGCACUGUUUGGUCCUGGAGAGCAGGAAGAGCUGAGGAUGAUGGGGAGUUUCACUUCAAGCAAAGGCUCUCUGUGCUCCAUUCCCUCAGAACGGGCGUGUGAAGAUAACUGGUACAUUGAGGAUGAAGCCAUCACUGCCAAGAAGUUCUACUCACAUGAGCAGGAACUGAUCGUGGAGGCCUUACAACAUUACACAGAGCAAGAUGGAUUUAGUCUUGGGGCAAGAGCUGUCCUUGCUGGAAUGCUUGCUGAGCAUCAGCAUGCAGAAGGACAAAGUGAAUUGUUCAGAAGUGCUUUUUUGAGGGCAGCGGUAUAAACAUUGAAGUGGAGGACAUUGAGGAAGUGGAUGAGGAUGAUGACUAUGAUGGGGUUUACGACAACGAUGGUGAUAUUGAUGGAGGAAAAAAUGUAUGAGGCUGAAUGUGUCUAAUUGUUGUUUGUUUCUUGUCCAUUCUGUUUUAAUGUAUGUAAUUCAGUGGUGUACAGUAUUUAAGUAAAAAAGGGGGGUAAAAUAAUAAACAUACAACAAAAAUGUUUUGUUAUUUUUGGGUUAAAGGAAGCACUCUGGCCAUUUCUGUUUAAUUGUUAGAUGUGAUAUAUAGGCCAUUCUUUCAUGUAAUUUACCAUUUAUGUCAUGGUGAGGGGAACCUGACGUGAACCUGGUAUACCCCAACCUGAGUCUAAUGGAAUAGACAGGUUUGCUUCCUCCAAAGUAUUGUAUUUUCAUUGACCUGUUAGUUGUGGAGUUUGUAAACAUCAAUUUAGAUAAUUUUGUAAAUAUUGUAAUUCGAACAUCUAAAUCACCGUUGUCAUUUUUUAAAUAAAUAACUUCUGC